GCACAUGCGCAGAAUCAUCGUGGUGCACGGCUCUCCCUUUGCUUCUUCGGUUGCAGUCCUCUUGCUUCUUGCGCGUGCGUGUAGCGCUUUUGCAAAGCCGCGGAGGUGAAGUGAACUUAGAGGUUGUGGGGCCGAGGGGUCGUCUUAUAGCUACCAGCCCACAGGCAUUUAGUCUACGUUGGAGGUAAACAAAUACGGGUCCUGCUUAGGAGAAAAGAAAAACGUCUUACAGCCAGUGUCUAAACUCCAAACAACGGAAUGUAUCAAUGAGACCUUGUAUAUGGAUACACGUGCAUUUAAAACCGCCCUGCCGGCUUGUAGAGCUUUUGCCGUUCUCCAGCGCUUUACAGGGGUUAUCGCACUUAAGCCUCGGAACAACUUUACCAGGAGUGGGGUUUAAUCUGGACUGAAUUGGAGGAAAGGAACUGGCACCAGAGUGGAGGCUGGAAGGAUGGUGGAACUGACACUGGGACAGAACACAGAAAACAGAAUCUAAUGCUAUUGCUCUGGCUAUAUCAAAUAAAAGUGUCAAGAGUGAGCAUCCUUGCCUUGUGCUGAAUCACAAAGGAAUACCUUUCAGUUUUUCUCCAUUGAUUAUGAUAGCAGUGGGCUUUUCACAGUGGGCUUUACUGUGUUGAGGAGGAGGUCUGAUGGCCGGGAGGACAGGAAGAAGGAACCCACAAUGAAGCAAAAGUUGCGUUUAACUCUGUCCUCACCAUUCCUCUCCUGGACCUGUCCUAAACUGGAAGCUGGGGGAGGAUGGAGUGCUGGAAUGCUGCAGAAGUCUCAUGGGAGGGCGCCUGGUGUUCACCACAUGUGUACACUGUUGCACGACCAG
rnacentral:lncRNA from 1 species